rnacentral:rRNA from 1 species
AGGAUGAACGCUAGCGGCAGUCCUAAUACAUGCAAGUCGAACGGUGUCUUCGGACAUAGUGGCGCACGGGUGCGUAACACGUAUGCAACCUACCUUACAUUGGGGGAUAGCCUUUCGAAAGGGAGAUUAAUACCGCAUAAGACAGUAGCUGGGCAUCCAGCAGCUGUUAAAGAUUUAUCGAUGUAAGAUGGGCAUGCGUCCAAUUAGUUAGUUGGCGAGGUAAUGGCUCACCAAGACUUUGAUUGGUAGGGGAACUGAGAGGUCAAUCCCCCACACUGGCACUGAGAUACGGGCCAGACUCCUACGGGAGGCAGCAGUAGGGAAUAUUGGGCAAUGGGCGCAAGCCUGAUCUAGCCAUGCCGCGUGAUCGAUGAAGGCCUUAGGGUUGUAAACUGCUUUUGUACGGAACGAAAAGGCUCUGGUUAAUACCUGGGGCUCAUGACGGUACCGUAAGAAUAAGCACCGGCUAACUACGUG